GGAAGUAAAAGUCGUAACAAGGUCUCCGUUGGUGAACCAGCGGAGGGAUCAUUACCGAGUUUACAACUCCCAAACCCCUGUGAACAUACCUAUACGUUGCCUCGGCGGAUCAGCCCGCGCCCCGUAAAACGGGACGGCCCGCCCGAGGACCCCUAAACUCUGUUUUUAGUGGAACUUCUGAGUAAAACAAACAAAUAAAUCAAAACUUUCAACAACGGAUCUCUUGGUUCUGGCAUCGAUGAAGAACGCAGCAAAAUGCGAUAAGUAAUGUGAAUUGCAGAAUUCAGUGAAUCAUCGAAUCUUUGAACGCACAUUGCGCCCGCCAGUAUUCUGGCGGGCAUGCCUGUUCGAGCGUCAUUUCAACCCUCAAGCUCAGCUUGGUGUUGGGACUCGCGGUAACCCGCGUUCCCCAAAUCGAUUGGCGGUCACGUCGAGCUUCCAUAGCGUAGUAAUCAUACACCUCGUUACUGGUAAUCGUCGCGGCCACGCCGUUAAACCCCAACUUCUGAAUGUUGACCUCGGAUCAGGUAGGAAUACCCGCUGAACUUAAGCAUAUCAAUAAGCGGAGGAA
rnacentral:rRNA from 1 species